rnacentral:rRNA from 1 species
UAGCCCUACGGGAGGCAGCAGUGGGGAAUAUUGCACAAUGGGGGAAACCCUGAUGCAGCGACGCCGCGUGAAGGACGAAGUAUUUCGGUACGUAAACUUCUAUCAGCAGGGAAGAAUAAUGACGGUACCUGACUAAGAAGCCCCGGCUAACUACGUGCCAGCAGCCGCGGUAAUACGUAGGGGGCAAGCGUUAUCCGGAUUUACUGGGUGUAAAGGGAGCGUAGACGGCUGUGCAAGUCUGACGUGAACUGCCGGGGCUCAACCCCGGAACUGCUUUGGAACCUGUACAGCUAGAGUGCAGGAGG